rnacentral:rRNA from 1 species
UACGGAGGGUGCAGAGCGUUGUCCGGAAUCAUUGGGCGUAAAGGGCGCGUAGGUGGCUUCUUAAGCGUGCGGUGAAAGCCUGGGGCUCAACCCCGGGUCGGCCGUGCGAACUGGGGGCUGGAGCACUGUAGAGGCAGGGCGGAAUUCCGGGUGUAGCGGUGGGAAUGACGUAGAGAUCCGGAAGAACGACCGGUGGCGAAGGCGGCCGCUGGGCAGUU